rnacentral:rRNA from 1 species
UACGGGGGGGGCAAGCGUUGUUCGGAAUUACUGGGCGUAAAGGGUUCGUAGGUGGCUCGCUAAGUCAGACGUGAAAUCCCUCAGCUUAACUGGGGAACUGCGUCUGAGACUGGCAAGCUCGAGUGCAGGAGAGGAACGCGGAAUUCCAGGUGUAGCGGUGAAAUGCGUAGAUAUCUGGAGGAACACCGGUGGCGAAGGCGGCGUUCUGGACUGCAACUGACACUGAGGCGCGAAAGCGUGGGGAGCGAACAGG